GUAUGCUAUAAGUACAUAUACUAAAAUUUGGAACGAUACAGAGAAGAUUAGGGUGACCCAUGCGCGAGGAAGAUACGCAAAAUCGUGAAUCGUUCCACGUUUUU